AGGACAUGUCAAAGUGAAUUUAAUAGGAACUGAAUAUAAAGAGCAUUCAAUACUAUGACAUAAUGAUCUGAAGUAAUUUUGAAGUUUUCUACCUCUUGCUCCCUUUUGUGUGUGUGUGUGUGUGUGUGUGUGUGUGUGUGGUUGGUCCUG
rnacentral:sRNA from 1 species